GACGAACGCUGGCGGCGUGCCUAAUACAUGCAAGUCGAGCGAAUGACGAGGAGCUUGCUCCUUUGAUUUAGCGGCGGACGGGUGAGUAACACGUGGGUAACCUACCUUAUAGACUGGGAUAACUUCGGGAAACCGGAGCUAAUACCGGAUAAUACUUCGAAACACAUGUUUUGAAGUUGAAAGAUGGUUUCGGCUAUCACUAUAGGAUGGACCCGCGGCGCAUUAGCUAGUUGGUGAGGUAACGGCUCACCAAGGCGACGAUGCGUAGCCGACCUGAGAGGGUGAUCGGCCACACGGGGACUGAGACACGGCCCAGACUCCUACGGGAGGCAGCAGUAGGGAAUCUUCCACAAUGGACAAAAGUCUGAUGGAGCAACGCCGCGUGAGUGAAGAAGGAUUUCGGUUCGUAAACUCUGUUGCAAGGGAAGAACAAGUAGCGUAGUAACUGGCGCUACCUUGACGGUACCUUGUUAGAAAGCCACGGCUAACUACGUGCCAGCCGCCGCAGUAACAC
rnacentral:rRNA from 1 species